rnacentral:rRNA from 1 species
AUUGAACGCUGGCGGCAUGCCUUACACAUGCAAGUCGAACGGUAACGCGGGGCAACCUGGCGACGAGUGACGAACGGGUGAGUAAUGCAUCGGAACGUGCCCAGUAGUGGGGGAUAGCUCGGCGAAAGCCGGAUUAAUACCGCAUACGACCUAUGGGUGAAAGCGGGGGACCGCAAGGCCUCGCGCUAUCGGAGCGGCCGAUGUCAGAUUAGGUUGUUGGUGAGGUAUAGGCUCACCAAGCCGACGAUCUGUAGCUGGUCUGAGGGGACGACCAGCCACACUGGGACUGAGACACGGCCCAGACUCCUACGGGAGGCAGCAGUGGGGAAUUUUGGACAAUGGGGGCAACCCUGAUCCAGCCAUGCCGCGUGCGGGAAGAAGGCCUUCGGGUUGUAAACCGCUUUUGUCGGGGAAGAAACGCUCUGGGCUAAUACCCUGGGGUAAUGACGGUACCCGAAGAAUAAGCACCGGCUAACUACGUGCCAGCCGCCGCCGUAAAAC